CUUUUUUCUUUUCUGUUCUUCCUGAUGGUAUUUAUGUUAGGAUUCGAUGAUGAUGCCGACAAAGAGGUCGAAGAAGAGAAAAGCGGUUUCGUAAUUCCAUGCCCCAUGUCAAUCACGUCCAAAACGUUUUCGUGUUUGCAAUUUACCAUGAUCUCAAGCUCCUUGAGGAUUUGCUUGUGAACCUCCUUAUUUCCUAGCACUACUCUCUCGCCCAGAUGAUCGUAUCCAUGCGCCACCGCAGACGCAUAGUUAUAUCUGCCCAACAGUUUAUGGAGAAUCGCGCCCUAAAACCCUAAACCCAAAUUUUCGACACUCGGAUUUGAACCCCAAUCGGCCACCCUUUUUCGUCGCCUUUACUGCGACUAUAAAAGAGAGUGUUCCUCCAUAGGGUUUCUCCAUAGCUUGAGAAAUGAAAGUGUUGGGCAGAUAUAACUAUGCGUCUGGAUAUGGCGAAAGCUCUGUGGUGGCGCAUGGAUACGAUGAUCUGGGCGAGAGAGUCGUGAUAAAAAAUAUGGGUAAAGGCAAGGAGGUUCACAAGCAAAUCCUCAAGGAGUUUGAGAUCAUGGUAAAUUGCAAACAUGAAAACGUUUUGGACGUGAUUGACAUGGGGCUAGACAAGGACGGGAAUUACUACAUGGUAUUCGAGCAUACUAAUGGUAACGUGUUGGAGUAUCUACAAAUGGACCUUUCGAAAGCUGGCAAAGAAUCGGAGCUUGGUUCGAGGUUUUUCACCAGGGAAGAGAAGAUCAAGGAGAUAAUGCGCCAGCUCCUUCUAGGGCUUGCAUGGCUGCAUGAACGUGGGGUGGCGCACCAGGGCAUGACAAAAGAUAACGUCCUGGUGAAGGUCAAAGGAUGUGAUUUCAAGGUGAAGCUGGGCGAUUUUAGCUGUGCGAGGAGGCUUUGCAACAAUCCCCCAGAAACAACCCUGAAAGUGGGAACUGCAGUGGACAUAUGGAGUGCUGGGAUAUUGCUAGUGGGGAUGAUCUUGCCAUUGGAAAUGCCUGAGCUACCAGAGAAAGAGGCUAAAGGAGAGGUGUUGGAGACGAUCAAAAAAUUUCUCCGGGCUUUGGAUGAUUUAAUCAAGGACAAGGACGCCCUGGAGUUAGUCAAAUCGAUGCUAGCGUCUGAUCCAGUUACUGCCCGGCAAGCUUUAGCUUUCAGGUAUUUACAUCGCAAUACCCAAUAACAUAUGAUAUCUUAGAUACAAAAUAUUGUAAAGUAAAAAUAUGAGUUGUGUCCGACACGAAAAGAAGAUAAGUAAAAUAGACUAAUAAUAAUAUUUGAAUGGUAGAAGACUGAACUAUACUAAAAGGUGUUUAGGAAGGUUUAUAAAUUAUAAGUAUGUUUAUAAUUAUAAAUACAAGAUUAAUCUCAACGUUGUAGAAGAUCCCAGGAACGCUGGUAAACAAAAAAGCUUGGCACGUUUUUUUUUUUUAUGCUUUCUGAUCCUUUUUUCUUUUCUUUUGUGUGUGUGACGUUGGGCGCGGUUGCAGAGGACAUGUCUGGGAUCGUCAAGAGAGCACCACCACUACAAGGGCUGGACAUGAUCAAGGAAGCUCAAGGAGAAUAUGCUGCUUGCAGCACAGGCAACUAAUUUUCCUUUCUUUUUACAUUUGUAAUUAACAUAAACUCCUUUUUUUCCAUCUUUUUCUUGAAGCUAGGUGCUUUUUCUGCAAAACAAAUCCUUUAGGUUUUCCUAACCAUUCAUUUUUUCGAGCGAUGGCAGACUAUGUGUGGGCGAGUGGCGCGAGGUUGCUAGGCGCUGGACCAGAUGGAGAGGUGAGGGUUGGGUUCCACCGAAAGACUGGAGACAAAGUAGCCAUGAAGAAGAUCUACGAGCACGAGUGCCUUUACGAUGCCAUCAUCAACGAGUCGGAGAUCCUGGAAGAGGUAGCGCACGACAACGUUGUCAAUUUCCUUGGGUUGACCUGCAACAACCAGGGUACGUUCAUGGUGAUGGAGCUCAUGGACGGGAGUUUGAGCGAUGUGAUCUCGUCACGCAAGCUUGGGGAGCACGACAUCAGGGCCGUGAUGCGCCAGAUCCUCGAGGGCCUGGCGUGGAUUCACGCGCACGGAAUCGUUCACCAAGACGUCAAGACGAGCAACGUUCUCGUCAAAAGGGAUGGAGAGAAGAAUAAGUUUGUUGUGAAGCUGGCGGACUUCGCUACCGCGAGGAGGCUGCGGACACGCCCCUGGUCGAACAAGGUCGGGACCUUAACGUUCAACGCUCCGGAGCUUCUCAAGGGUGCCACCAGCUUUGGCACCGCAAUCGACGUGUGGGGGGCCGGGUGUAUAUUCGCGGAGAUGCUCCUGGGUAGCGAUCCCUUUGAUGUGCCCGACGAUGGGGACUCGCUCAACUAUUUUGUGGCUGAUUUCGCCAAGAAGCUGGACAUCGAUGGCUGUGGCAUGGGCUAUCAAGACAGGCGCCGAGAGCGAGCACGUGAGAGGAUCUUGGAGAAGAUGGUGUGGUGGAAAGCCGAGGAUGUGAGAAGCGGAAUGAAAGACCCCGAUGCAGUGGAGCUGCUCAAGAGGAUGCUGGCAAUUGAUCCGGCGAGGAGGAUCUCGGUGCAAAACGCCUUGAAGAUGCCAUAUUUCCAAGAGAAGGCCGACGACACAGCCACGCCAGUGCUCCUGAAAAUGACGACUGCAAGUGGAAAUUUUAGACCAGCUUGGGUUAAAUUCAACAAUGCAGCCCCAUCAAUAGCUACAAUGUAAACAAUGCUUAUGAAGACUGUGAAUGUAUAUAUUCAAAGUUUUGCAAAACAUUUUAUCUUUUUCUCUAAGAAGAUUAUGUAAAGAAAAAAAUUUAAAAAUUUAUUAUAUUAAUAAUUAUAAUUAUGUUUCUAAUUUUGUCUCCUGGAACUCACUGCUCGGAUCUGUCAUUGGAAAUGGCAACUUAGAAGCGGCAGCGCGGUUCUUCGAGCGUUUUCCCAAGAAGAACGUCGUCUCCUACAAUACCAUGAUCGCAGGGAAUGCUCAGGCCGGAGAGCUAAGCUCUUGCUUCGAUCUGGUGGCGAAGAUGGCAAUCGAAGGACUCACUCCCGACGAGCAAGCCUUCAGUGUUCUCGCUGCAUCCAGCCAUGGCGGAAAGCUAGAACAGGGACUCCACCACUUCGUGCUCAUGAGCGGCGACUUUGAAAUCACAGCUUUGAGGGAGCACUACGAUUCAGUCACAGACAUCCUGGGACGGGCCGGGAACCUGGAACUCGCUCGCUCGGUCGUCCAAGCCAUGCCAUUUCUCCCGGCUUGGGGAUCGCUACUCGGUGGCUAUCAGAUGCAAAGUGGCCAAGGCUUCACGCAACGAGCAGCCAGGAGCGUUUCCGAGCUGGGCUUGGGGCGAGCAAACAGCCAUACCAAGUGGUACACAAAUUCACGUUAUAUCAUUGAUUUUAAAAUAUGAUCUGUAUGAUCAAACUACACCCUGGUUUACAUUUAUCUCUUCAUGUACUAACAGUAAGCGCUCACCAAGUUGGCUGAUGGAGGCAUGUAUUUAACACACUCACGCUGCUCGAACUUUCUUGACAACCAAGUCGCUACUAAAACCGGGAGCACUCCUCUUCACUCCACAGCGCUUCCUCUUUUGAAUCGUCUUACUGCUGCAAUUCUCCACGAUCCAGGGAUGCUCCAGCACACCAUCCAACGUCAACCUCUCGCUCGGCUCCACAGCCAGCAUCCCGCAGAUGAGAUCCUCCGCCUCGUCUGAGAGAGGACAACCAUCCGGGAAUUCCCCGGCUCGCAACAACUCGAUUUCCCUGGAUUGCUUGUAGCCUCUCAGCAGCUCAUAUGCGAUCACUCCCAGCGCCCACACGUCGAUGGCCGCAGUGUAAAAGCUCUGCGACCUUGCGUCACCCUUGCAGCUCGUCACCUCCGGCGCCAUAUACUUCCCGGUUCCACAGCACUGCGACAUCUCCUUGGGGUCGUCCGUGGCCACGCCGAAGUCUCCAAUCACCACCUCGUGCACGGCAGUAGCGUCCAGCUUGACGAAGAUGUUCUCCGGCUUGAGAUCCCGGUGGACGAUGCCGCUGCUAUGUAUCCCCUUGAGCGCCUCCGCCAGCCUCUGGAUGGUCUUGGCGGCCUCCUCCUCGCCCAGCGGCCCUCCCUUGAUCAAUCGAUGGAACAGGCUAGGACCGCACAGCUCCAUCACCAUGGUCCCGUAGCAAGCCCCGCCGCUCCUCUCCUUCACGAAGCCCGCCAAGGAGACCACUCCAGCGCAUCCGCGGAGCUUGGACAUGAGCCGGAGCUCUCUCCCGGCGUCCCUCCCCGCUCGAAACAUCUUCCCGGCGUAGCUCGUGGCCCCCUUGAGCACGAAAACCUGGCCCUGGCUCCCGCAACCCAGCCUCUCGCCCCUCGUGUAGAUCUUGAGGAGCUCGGCACAAUCGUCGUCCUCAAACUCAACGUCUUGGCGGACCAUCUCCUCUCGCGCAAGCUUCCUUGAGAUGAGAAAUAAAAAGGGUAGAAACCCUAGCUUCUCAUAACGACUAUUUGUCGACGGUUGGGAUGGCGUUCUGCCGUCGGCUGAGAUGUGACUGCGAUCUAGCCGAGAGUAAUCUAAUUGUUUAUUGAAUAUUCACUAUUGACCCGUCACCUUCUUGGGAGUUGACGCCCCAAGCUUGUUCUUGGGGUUGUGCGUGGUGUUGAGUUGCCAGACCAGCUUUUGCAAGUUCCCCGACCUCCCCGGCAAACACAUCAAAGUUCUUCCUAGUAGUUCAUCCACUUCGCAUGCGUUAGAUCGAGGAGUGAAGGUUUGGAAACUUGCCUUUGUAUGAGAAACACGCAACUCCUUGAGAAGGAGCACGAGCUCCUCCAGUUUCCAGUUGAUUGCAAGUCGUUUAUAAUCCUAGAACAAAGCUUGCAAGGUGAAUCCUUGUGAAGAACAUGAAAGGUUUGUAGAGGAAGCAAACCUUGUAGCUUUGCUCGUAUACAACAUGCUUGCAGUUCUGGGAGCCUCAGCCGCUCCCUGUGCUUUCAAAUCCUCAAUGUCGAACUCCUUUUAAAAGCCAACAUGUUAAACUCAUUUAGAAACUACUUAAGCUUGUUUUUUUAUUUUUUUAACAAGUUUUUCUUUAAUCUCACUUAAUGAGUUUUUCUUAAUCAUUUUAACGUCUAUAUUUCACCAUCAAUGAUUCUGUCUUUGCCGAUUUUGAUAUGUAAGUGCAUAAAUGUUCUGAGGCAAGCCUUUCACGUGUUGCAGCCAGGUGACUUGGCCUUCCUCUCUACUUCAAAAACCUGAUCAACAUAAACAUACCAAGCUUCAUGAGAUGUCCUUGGUGCUCUCACUUGAAGAAUAUCAUGAGAUUUUGGCCAUAUUGGAACAACAUCUCCUGAUUCAAGAAGUUUACAUGGUAACCUUGAGGAUUUUACAUCCUAAACAAUUUGAUCUCCACGCCAUUUUCCAUCUGGGAUCAGAAACACACAUAUCUCAUGCUCUACGAGCUCAACAGGUUGAAUGCAAUCAACGCUGAACUUAUACAUUGCGCUUGUAAGCAGAUGCAUACUCGAAAACUCACAUUUUUCUGGAUGACCAUUUGUUAUUUCAUAACGAAAAUAAUCUGUUGCAAAAUAAACCUGCAAAAGAAUCAAAGUUCUUCGUAGUAGAUCAUCCACUUUGCACAUGUUAGAUUGAGGUGUGAAGGCUUGAAAACUUGCCUGAGAAACACUCAAGUCCUUGACAAGGAGCACGAGCUCUUCUAGUUUCCUGUCACAAGUUGAUUGCAAGUUGUUUAUCUGCAUUUUCAAUCCUGGAAAAAAGCUCCCAAGUUGAAUCCUUGUGAAGAACAUGAAAGAAUUGCAAAGGAAGCAAACCUUGUAGCUUUGCUCGUACUGUGACAAGCCCCUAGUGUGCUGCUCCCUGUGCUUCCAAAUCCUGGAUGUCUUGCUCAAUCUUUCUACCAAGAAAUACGAGAUCAAAAGAUUGUGGAAGCUUAUAUAGCUAGAAAUGUUUAGAGGUUCACAAGAAGCACUUUUUUUUGGAGUGUUAAUCUCAAUUUACAACUAUGUUGUUUUGCUUUUCUAGAGAUGACACAGACCAAUUUAUUAAGUAUAAGUAUAAGGGUACCUAAUGAGACUGGUAAGGAUCAUCAUAUAUUUUUAUAUAUAAUUAUCUAGAACCAUUUAAACAUAGAUAUGAUUUCUCCUACAUAAAUUGGUGUAUUUAUUUUAAGCCUAAAAUAAUAUUAUCUAUGACAAAUAUGAAAAUUAUUUAAAUUUAAAUAAUUAAAUAAAUCCAUCACCACACCUUUAUAAGGUUAUAAAUAGCAAUGUAACCCUUCACAAGGAAAUUUUUAAAAUUUUAAUUUUUGAUUUGCAAUACCAUGAAGAAGAACAACUCAAUAACAAAUAAUAUGAGCAUUAUCAAAUUAAUGAAUGGAAAAUAUUAAUUCUAUUUCUCUAAAACUUUGACCUUUUUUUUAUAAUUAUUUCUAAGUCAUCAUGUACUUUAAAUAUUUCUUGUGACUAUGGUGGAGUGGAAAAAGAAAUAAUUGUAAUAGGAAAUACAUAUAUUUAAAUAUGGCUAUAAUUAAUAGCUAUAAUGAGUGAAAAGUAAAUCUACUAGAUUAGUGAGUGAAGGAUAUAAUUGUAACACUACUAAUAGUUGCACAAAUUGAAAAAUUGACAAAUUUAUUUAAAAGAGAGUGUGCUCAAAUUAUUAUGGUAUUAUGGUGCAUUAAUAAAAGGUUACACCAUCAAUAAAAAGCUAAAAACUAACAUAAAAAUCAAAAACCUUAAUAAUUUUGCUAGAUCAGUCUUCAGUAAUUUUGAGUAGUUAAUCCCACUAACCUUCAUCUCCAAAUUUUAUUCUAAAAGUUAUUUUUGCAAUGAUGUAAAAUAUUUAAUAUAACUUAUAAAUAAUGUGAAAUUUACUAAGAAAAUAUUUCACUUUCCUUUUCUAUUAAAAAUACUUUAUUUUCUCUUCAAUCAAAUAGAUUUUUUACUAAAUUUUCAAUAAAAAAUAUUAGAAAAUUAAAUUAAAUAUAAAAUAGGAUGAAAAAAUUUAUUUAUUAUUUAAACAAGGUUAAUUGUGACUUAUAAUGUGAAGUUCUUAAAUUUCAUUAUGGUUAAUGCUAAAUAGAAGGUUAUGCCUGUAUAAAAGUUUAUGGAAGAGAAAAUUUAUUAAAUAAAAAUAUUUAUAAUGAUUAAAAAGAAAUAAUAUAAUUGUUUUGCUUUCAUAAGUUUCAUGGAUAUUAUUUUUUGUUAUUAAACUCUUUCUCUUCAUGAUAUUAUUCAUAAAAAAUUAAAAUGUUAAAAAUUUCUUGAUUGUAGUAGUGAGAAGAUAAACAUUUUCUAAAUAUAAUUACUUAUAUUUUAAACAUUUAUAUGUUACACCCUCUCUCUAUAUAUAGAAUAACUAGCUUAAAUAAAUUAACUAGUUUUAUGUAAUAAAUAAUAAUACUUUAAAGAAAUCAUGUUUAUAUUUAAAUAGUACUAGGUAAUUAUCAAUGUUUUUGAUGAAAUAAAGUAGAAAAUAAUACUAACUAAAUCCUUAUACUUUGUUUUUUAUUAUUCUUUAUUGGUCUAAUUAAGUGCCUUUAAUUUGAUAAAUUGGUGUGUGUUAUCUCUAGACAGGUAAAAUAACAUAGUUAUAAAUUGAAAUCAACACUCCAAAAAGAAGUACUUCUUAUAAACUUCUAAACACUAAAAGCUAAUAUGCUGAGUUUUAAUGUUAAGUUUGAAUCAAGAAAAAUUUUAAAAUCAAUAUGAGUUUGUAUCAUAUAAUUUUUGAAAUAUAUGUAUUAUUACGUAAUUAUAUAAGUAUUAAAACACAUAUAGUUUUACAUUUAUAAGUAUAGAGCUUAAUUAGAUUUAUAGCAUGGUUUUCAGGUGCUUAUGUGCAUAAUGCAAGUUAAGAAAUCCUCUUGGAGUCAAUGUGGUUUACAAAGCUUGUAAGAUAUUUACAAACAAAGAAUCAGAUAAAGGUGUUUCAUGUAAUUUUAAAACUGAAUUUGAUUUUAGAUCCUAAAUCAUUUUUGUUUUUGGUUUUUUUUAGAUGCCACUACAAGUGGGAGCUCCAGCUACACUAACUUUAAGGCAACUGAUGGUAUGGAUUAUAGAAUGAUGUAAAAAUUGAUUAGUUUCUAUGUCUUUUAUCAGAUAUAAAUAUCAUGACACCAAAACAUAAACUUUUUAUAGAUUCACAACUACUAAUUUUCUUCAGUCUCUAGUACAAAGGUUUUGUCUAAUGAUGACAAUGCUUUCCAAAAGAUUUUGAGUAUGAUGGCCUUGCUGGAUAAGCCUCAUUGCUCGCAGCAUAUGACAGAUGAUAUUUUACAGAUUUGAUUUAAGGAUGACGGUGAUGGUUCUCUUCCCAAACUUUUGAGUGCUCGUGGUGGUCGGAAUCAAGAUACCACAGAGUUAAUGCAAACCCUUUACAAAGACAUAGGAUUGUGUANNNNNNNNNNNNNNNNNNNNNNNNNNNNNNNNNNNNNNNNNNNNNNNNNNNNNNNNNNNNNNNNNNNNNNNNNNNNNNNNNNNNNNNNNNNNNNNNNNNNNNNNNNNNNNNNNNNNNNNNNNNNNNNNNNNNNNNNNNNNNNNNNNNNNNNNNNNNNNNNNNNNNNNNNNNNNNNNNNNNNNNNNNNNNNNNNNNNNNNNNNNNNNNNNNNNNNNNNNNNNNNNNNNNNNNNNNNNNNNNNNNNNNNNNNNNNNNNNNNNNNNNNNNNNNNNNNNNNNNNNNNNNNNUUGUCAUGCAAGAGAUGGAUUCAGACUUGGCCACAAAGACAUAUACGUUCUCUAGUCAAUAGUACAAUCAUUGUCAGGGUUGUAGUUUUACUACAUGCCCAGAAUGCAGCAGUGAUGUCCCAUGCAAUCCAAGGUUUGCAAAUGGUGAUCCACAAAAUUUAGCACUAAUGCUAUGUGCUGAUGGUUUUCAAGUAACAUCAACUAAAAUGAGAAGCAUAAUAUUGUCAUGCUCAACGAAGGGACACAAGGCAUUCACGAGGUUGAGGAACUCAUUCUGCCAGUAUUGUAUAUUUAGAAGGAUGAGCUACCUAACAAUAUGGACAAUGCAAAUGUUCUUGACGUCUUUUUAGAUCAUAUCAUGCAACAGUUAGAAGAUUUGUACCUGAAUGGACACGCAACUAAAUAUUCAUUAUAGAUAAACUUUAUAUUUAACUUUCAGUAGUUUAGAUUUUAGGGCUUGAACAAAAGUUCAGCAUGUGAGCUAUUGAAGAUGAGCUUUAGUAAGUUCUUUCUUCUAUUUAAUCAUUUGUAACCACUUUAUAUUUUCUAUUCUUCUGCAGUAAAUCUGGAGGAAAUCCAUGUAGAUAUUGCUCAAUUCGUAAUACUAGAAAGUAGAAACUUUAUAGAGAUGUUUGGCAGAAAACCAAGAGACUGAGAUCAAUGUCAAACGAUGGAAGAAGUCGAGGUAGCUAUUAAUCAUCUUCAAAUGGGAAAUACCUCUACAGAAAAGAGUUAUGGACCAAGAGGCAAAUCUGCUCUACAUUGGGUUUACCAUGGUCUAGACUUACUCCAUGAUUCUGUUUUUGAUGCUAUGCAUACUAUUUCUUCGCUUUUGCAGAUACAAAUAAUAUGAUGUGGAAGAAAGUCUGAGAGGCUAAGAAGGAAGCAAUUGCAAAGGAAGGACUUCAGCUAAUAUUGUAGAAGAGGUCCUCAAGCAUGAAAGUUGGUUGACCGCUAGAAAGACCUUUGGAAUGCUUAGCUUUUUGGAAAGCAUGUGAGCAUCAUCAGUUUUUACAAUAGGACUUCUAGAGGAUCUAGAUGAUCUUAAACUUAUAUAACUAAACACUGUUAUUGCAAUGAUUUUUUAUGACUUUGGAUGAGACCAUAGGACUUCUAGGAGAUCUAGAUAGUUUUGGACUGUUUAUUAUCAGGAGUGUUAUUGCAAUGAUUUUUUAUGACUUUGGAUGAAACCAUGGUUGAAAUGUUGAGCGAUUGUUAGUUUUGGACUGUUUAUAAUCAGGAGGCUUAUUGGUAAAAUGUUUUAGUGAGAUUUAACAACAUGAAGACAAAUCACAAACAAAUGGACAUAUUACUUUCUCUAGGAUCCAUAACAGGUGCUUCAAAUAAUAAUAGGAUAAAAUACUUCUAAUUUGUUGUUUUCCCAGGUUGUUUUUUACUAGAGUACAAGCUUUACUCUUUCAAGAUCAUGAUCAUCUUCUUCCUCGAAACCAUUGGGAGGGAUUGGUUUAAAAUGCUUGCAAGAAGUUAAAAACACCAAUGCAAAUCAAACACUUUCUUUCUCUGCAAUGUUUUCAAUCCUUUUUCCACAUGAUGUAAUGGAGUAUUUUGCCAAGCAGUAGCUAAAGCUUUAUUUGCAGACGCUCCAAACUCUAACAGGGACGAUCUGAUAAAGGAGAAGGGAAUUCUUAUUGGCAAGGGAGUUAAGUGACCUAUUGGUGUUCAUGAGCUUAAUGCAAUUGCAGGAUUCAACAAUAAAAGUGAGGAUGCAUAGUCCAAUAACAAGGUGAUUCACUUCAAAUUUACUUUCGCAGUGGGAUAUAUCUUUGGAGGCUAAAAUGUUCACAUUGUAGUGAAGAAUCGAACUUGGGAAGAACUUCCUUGGAUUAAGAAGUUUAAAUAUGCUUUUAGUCAUAAGUUUGAACAAAGCUACAAGUUAAAGCAUAUUUUAUUUUAUUUUAUGCUAUGUAUAUUUUGUAUUCUCUUGCAGGUUUACUUUGCAGCAGAUUAUUUUCGUUAUGAAAUAACAAAUGGCCAUCCAGAAAAAUAUGAGUUUUCGAGUAUGCAUCUGCUUACAAGCGCAAUGCAUAAGUUCAGCGUUGAUUGCAUUCAACCUGUUGAGCUCAUAGAGCAUGAGAUAUGUGUGGUUCUGAUCCCAGAUGGAAAAUGGCGUGGAGAUCAAAUUGUUUAGGAUGUAAAAUCCUCAAGGUUACCAUGUAAACUUCUUGAAUCAGGAAAUGUUGUUCCAAUAUGGCCAAAAUCUCAUGAUAUUCUUCAAGUGAGAGCACCAAGGACAUCUCAUGAAGCUUGGUAUGUUUAUGUUGAUCAGGGUUUUGAAGUAGAGAGGAAGGCCAAGUCACCUGGCUGCAACACGUGAAAGGCUUGCCUCAGAACAUUUAUGCACUUACAUAUCAAAAUCGGCAAAGACUAUCUUGGUUAGAAUCAUUGAUGGUGAAAUAUAGACGUUAAAAUGAUUAAGAAAAACUCAUUAAGUGAGAUUAAACAAAAACUUGUUAAAAAAAUUAAAAAAACAAGCUUAAGUAGUUUCUAAAUGAGUUUAACAUGUUGGUUUUUAAAAGGAGUUCUAGUGAGCGAGACAUUGAGGAUUUGAAAGCACAGGGAGCGGCUGAGGCUCCCAGAACUGCAAGCAUAUCCUGUAUACGAGCAAAGCUACAAGGUUUGCUUCCUCUACAAACCUUUCAUGUUCUUCACAAGGAUUCACCUUGCAAGCUUUGUUCUAGGAUUAUAAACGACUUGCAAUCAACUGGAAACUGGAGGAGCUCGUGCUCCUUCUCAAGGAGUUGCGUGUUUCUCAUACAAAGGCAAGUUUCCAAACCUUCACUCCUCGAUCUAACGCAUGCAAAGUGGAUGAACUACUAGGAAGAACUUUGAUGUGUUUGCCGGGGAGGUCGGGGAACUUGCAAAAGCUGGUCUGGCAACUCAACACCACGCACAACCCCAAGAACAAGCUUGGGGCGUCAACUCCCAAGAAGGUGACGGGUCAAUAGUGAAUAUUCAAUAAACAAUUAGAUUAUUCUCGGCUAGAUCGCAGUCACAUCUCAUCCGACGGCAGAACGCCAUCCCAACCGUCGACAAAUAGUCGUUAUGAGAAGCUAGGGUUUCUACCCUUUUUAUUUCUCAUCUCAAGGAAGCUUGCGCGAGAGGAGAAGCUCUGCGAUGGUCCGCCAAGACGUUGAGUUUGAGGACGAUGAUUGUGCCGAGCUCCUCAAGAUCUACACGAGGGGCCAGAGGCUGGGUUGCGGGAGCCAGGGCCAGGUUUUCGUGCUCAAGGGGGCCACGAGCUACGCCGGAAAGAUGUUUCGAGCGGGGAGGGACGCCGGGAGAGAGCUCCGGCUCAUGUCCAAGCUCCGCGGCUGCGCUGGAGUGGUCUCCUUGGCGGGCUUCGUGAAGGAGAGGAGCGGCGGGGCUUGCUACGGGACCAUGGUGAUGGAGCUGUGCGGUCCUAGCCUGUUCCAUCGAUUGAUCAAGGGAGGGCCGCUGGGCGAGGAGGAGGCCGCCAAGACCAUCCAGAGGCUGGCGGAGGCGCUCAAGGGGAUACAUAGCAGCGGCAUCGUCCACCGGGAUCUCAAGCCGGAGAACGUCUUCGUCAAGCUGGGCGCUGCUGCCGUGCACGAGGUGGUGAUUGGAGACUUCGGCGUGGCCACGGACGACCCCAAGGAGAUGUCGCAGUGCUGUGGAACCGGGAAGUAUAUGGCCCCGGAGGUGACGAGCUGCAAGGGUGACGCAAGGUCGCAGAGCUUUUACACUGCGGCCAUCGACGUGUGGGCGCUGGGAGUGAUCGCAUAUGAGCUGCUGAGAGGCUACAAGCAAUCCAGGGAAAUCGAGUUGUUGCGAGCCGGGGAAUUCCCGGAUGGUUGUCCUCUCUCAGACGAGGCGGAGGAUCUCAUCUGCGGGAUGCUGGCUGUGGAGCCGAGCGAGAGGUUGACGCUGGAUGGUGUGCUGGAGCAUCCCUGGAUCGUGGAGAAUUGCAGCAGUAAGACGAUUCAAAAGAGGAGGCGCUGUGGAGUGAAGAGGAGUGCUCCCGGUUUUAGUAGCGACUUGGUUGUCAAGAAAGUUCGAGCAGCGUGAGUGUGUUAAAUACAUGCCUCCAUCAGCCAACUUGGUGAGCGCUUACUGUUAGUACAUGAAGAGAUAAAUGUAAACCAGGGUGUAGUUUGAUCAUACAGAUCAUAUUUUAAAAUCAAUGAUAUAACGUGAAUUUGUGUACCACUUGGUAUGGCUGUUUGCCCGCCCCAUGCCCAGCUCGGAAACGCUCCUGGCUGCUCGUUGCGUGAAGCCUUGGCCACUUUGCAUCUGAUAGCCACCGAGUAGCGAUCCCCAAGCCGGGAGAAAUGGCAUGGCUUGGACCACCUCGCGAGCGAGUUCCAGGUUCCCGGCCCGUCCCAGGAUGUCUGUGACUGAAUCGUAGUGCUCCCUCAAAGCUGUGAUUCCAAAGUCGCCGCUCAUGAGCACGAAGUGGUGGAGUCCCUGUUCUAGCUUUCCGCCAUGGCUGGACGCAGCGAGAACACUGAAGGUUUGCUUGUCGGGAGUGAGUCCUUCGAUUGCCAUCUUCGCCACCAGAUCGAAGCAAGAGCUUAGCUCUCCGGCCUGAGCAUUCCCCGCGAUCAUGGUGUUGUAAGAGACGACGUUCUUCUCGGGAAAAUGCUCGAAGAACCGCGCAGCCGCUUCUAAGUUGCCGUUUCCAGUGACAGAUCCGAGCAGUGAGUUCCAGGAGACAAAAUUAGAAACAUAAUUAUAAUUAUUGAUAUAAUAUCUAUUUUAAUUUUUUUCUUUACAUGAUCUAUUUAGAGAAAAAGAUAAAAUGUUUUGCAAAACUUUGAAUGUAUACAUUCACAGUCUUCACAAACAUUAUUUACAUUGUAGCUACUGAUGGGGCGGCAUUGUUGAUUUUAACCCAAGCUGGUCUAAAAUUUCCACUCACAGUUGUCAUUGUCAGGAGCACUAGCCUGGCUGUGUCGUCGGCCUUCUCUUGGAAAUAUGGCAUCUUCAAGGCAUUUUGCGCCAAGAUCCUCCUCGCCAGAUCAAUUGCCAGCAUCCUCUUGAGCAGCUCCACCGCAUCGGGGUCUUUAAUUCCGCUUUUCAUGUCCUCGGCUUUCCACCACGCCAUCUUCUCCAAGAUCCUCUCGCGUGCUUGCUCGCGGCGCCUGUCUUGAUAGCCCAUGCCACGGCCAUCAAUGUCCAGCUUCUUGGCGAAAUCAGCCACAAAAUAGUCGAGCGAGUCCCCAUCCUCCUCGUCGGGCACGUCAAAGGGAUUGCUACCCAGGAGCAUCUCCGCGAAUAUACACCCGGCGCCCCAUACGUCAAUUGCAGUGCCAAAGCUGGUGGCACCCUUGAGAAGCUCCGGAGCGUUGAACGUUAAGGUCCCGACCUUGUUCGACCAGGGGCGUGUCUGCAGCCUCCUUGCGGUAGCGAAGUCUGCCAGCUUCACCACAAACUUAUUCUUCUCUCAAUCCCUUUUGACGAGAACGUUGCUCGUCUUGACGUCUUGGUGAACGAUUCUGUGCGCGUGAAUCCACACCAGGCCCUUGAGGAUCUGGCGCAUCACGGCCCUGAUGUCGUGCUCCCCAAGCUUGCGUGACGAGAUCACAUCGCUCAAACUCCUGUCCAUGAGCUCCAUCACCAUGAACGUACCCUGGUUGUUGCAGGUCAACCCAAGGAGAUUGACAACGUUGUCGUGCACUACCUCUUCCAGGAUCUCCGACUCGUUGAUGAUGGCAUCGUAAAGGUACUCGUGCUCGUACAUCUUCUUCAUGGCUACUUUGUCUCCAGUCUUUCGGUGGAACCCAACCCUCACCUCUCCAUCCGCUCCAGCGCCUAGCAACCUUGCGCCACUCGCCCACACAUAGUCUGCCAUCGCUCGAAAAAAUGAAUGGUUAGGAAAACCUAAAGGAUUUGUUUUGCAGAAAAGGCACCCAACUUCAAGAAAAAGAUGGAGAAAAAGGAGUUUAUUUUAAUUACAAAUGUAAAAAGAAAGGAAAAAAACUCUUUAAAUCUUGGUCGCCUGCACUGCAGACAGCAUAUUCUCCUUGAGCUUCCUUGAUCAUGUCCAGCCCUACGUUGGGCGCGGUUGCAGAGGACCUGUCUGGGUUCGUCAAGAGAGCACCACCACUACAAACACACACAAAAGAAAAGAAAAAAGGAUCAGAAAGCAUAGAGAAAAAAAAACGUGCCAAGCUUUUUUGUUUACCAGAGUUCCUGGGAUCUUCUACAACGUUGAGAUUAAUCUUGUAUUUAUAAUUAUAAACAUACUUAUAAUUUAUAAACCUUCCUAAACACUUUUUAGUAUAGUUCAGUUUCUUCUACCAUAUUAUUAUUAGUCUAUUUUACUUAUCUUCUUUUCGUGUUGGACACAACUCAUAUUUUUACUUAGUGUUUUCUUACAAUAUUUUGUAUCUAAGAUAUCAUAUGUUAUUGGGUAUUGCGAUGUAAAUAUCUGAAAGCUAAAGCUUGCCGGUCAGACGCUAGCAUCGAUUUGACUAACUCCAGGGCGUCCUUGUCCUUGAUUAAAUCAUCCAAAGCCCGGAGAAAUUUUUUGAUCGUCUCCAACACCUCUCCUUUAGCCUCUUUCUCUGGUAGCUCAGGCAUUUCCAAUGGCAAGAGCAUCCCCACUAGCAAUAUCCCAGCACUCCAUAUGUCCACCGUGGUUCCCACUUUCAGGGUUGUUGUUUCUGGGGGAUUGUUGCAAAGCCUCCUCGCACAGCUAAAAUCACCCAGCUUCACCUUGAAAACACAUCCUUUGACCUUCACCAGGACGUUAUCUUUUGUCAUGCCCUGGUGCGCCACCCCACGUUCAUGCAGCCAUGCAAGCCCUAGAAGGAGCUGGCGCAUUAUCUCCUUGAUCUUCUCUUCCCUGGUGAAAAACCUCGAACCAAGCUCAGAUUCUUGCCAGCUUUCGAAAGGUCCAUUUGUAGGUACUCCAACACGUUACCAUUAGUAUGCUCGAAUACCAUGUAGUAAUUCCCGUCCUUGUCUAGCCCCAUGUCAAUCACGUCCAAAACGUUUUCGUGUUUGCAAUUUACCAUGAUCUCAAACUCCUUGAGGAUUUGCUUGUGAACCUCCUCGCCUUUACCCAUAUUUUUUAUCACUACUCUCUCGCCCAGAUCAUCGUAUCCAUGCGUUUUGGACGUUUUGGACCACACCUUCAACCAUUUGAAGGAGUCUCCUUCACAACCUCUAUAUAUCCUAUUUUAGAUUUGGGAACUUGGUAAUCCUAAGAAUGGCAUUUAUAUCAGCCUUUACACUUGGUCCAAGUCCUCCAUAUGUUCAAUCUUAUGACCGAUACUCAAAGGUACCACCAACAUAGUCCCAUUUGCUUUUGUCACAUUGAUAAUCUAACAUCACUUACAUCACAGUUUUGUCUUUCAAAGACUGGGUUAUCCAUUCAUGAGUGAUCAACCUAAAUCCCCUCCUUAACAUCCUUAGAAUGUGUAUAGACAUAAGGAACAACCUUCCUAAUAUCCCUUUUUCGGUCCCUACUGAGUUCUUUUCUAUUUAUGGCCAUGUUUGCCAACACUGCUAUUAAGUCAAGGCUUGAAAGCCUAACCACUAUGUUUCAUUGACCUCUGGGACUUCUUUGCCAUAUGACUGCAUCCUUGGUCACCACACAAGUGGAUUGUGUAAGACACAAAAUCCCUAGGCCCCAAAGUGGAGCUGGAAGGGUGCCACGUGGUAGUGGCUGAAGUGAAAGCCAAACGAGCGUAACACGUUUGGACUAAAAGCUCCGACUUGAAAAGGUCAAGAGCGGGAGUGGGACUCCCAACGAAGUGCUCAAGGAACAAACAUGAAGUGAAAGAUAAGUGAGUCUCUAGAAAAGGGACACCAGAGGACCGACACAUGACACAUGGAAGAAUCCGAGAUAGACCGAGAUGGAGUUCGAAAUGGACCCGAGAUGGAGUCCGAAAUGGACCCAAGAUGGAGUCUGAGAUGGAGUCCGAGAUGGACCCGAGAUGGAGUCCGAGAUGGACCGAGAUGGAAUCCGAGAUAGACCCGAGAUGGAGUCUGAGAUGGAGUCCGAGAUGGAGUCCAAGAUGGACCCGAGAUGGAGUCUGAGAUGGACCGAGAUGGAGUCCGAGAUGGACCCGAGAUGGAGUCCGAGGUGGACCAAGAUGGAGUUCAAGAUGGACCCGAGAUGGAAUCCGAGAUGGAGUUCGAGAAGGACCCGAGAUGGAGUCCGAGUUCGAGACCGAGAUUGGGACCGAGACCGAGACCGAGGCCGAGGCUGAGACCGAGCCCAAGCCCGAGUCCGAGUUUGAGUCUAAGUUCGAGUCUAAGAGGGUGAAAGCCCAAAGCAUUCGUCUCCCAGACCUUGGGGGGUUUGGUGAGCUCCAAAAGUAUAGUGAGGGGGAGGACUGCAGUGGAGCCAGUUUGGCCAGGAAAGGCCAAUUUGGCCCAGGAAGGCUGUACCCAGUGUUGGGUGAUGAGCUGCCCACUGGGAAGUCCAAGACUAGAGUGAACACAGACCGACAAGCGGGGUAGCUUGGUGAAGUGUUCAAGAGUUGGCUCUAGUUCCCCCGGGAGAUUAACUGGCCGAUGCUCCUAGUCCAAGUAUGGGUGGCACUACCUACUUGGAUACCUGGUGUGGCUCAACAGAACCUCGCUCUAAGCCCACGGCUAAAACACCCAAAGGCAGAAGGCAGGGAGAGUACCCACGAGGCUUGUGUAAGGCCACGGUGUUCCAAAAUGUUGCCCCAAGGUCCCAGAUUGUGAAAAGGAAGAGGAGCCAUCCUAUGGUGUAGAGACCAAGGAUGCAGUCAUGUGAGGAGGAAGUCCCAAAGGACUGUGGGACUUAGUGGUCGGGCCUGUAGGCCUUGAUCCAGUGGUAGUGUUGGCAAACAUGGCCAUGGGCAGAAAGGGACUUGGUGGGGACCGGAAAGGGGAUAUUGGGGAAGGUUAUUCCCCAUGUCUAUGAGCAUCCUAAAGAUGCUAAGGAGUGGAUCUGGGAUGAUCACUCAUGGACGGAUGCCCCAAUCUUUGAGAGAUGGGACUGUGAUGUAGGUGGUGUUGGACCACCAAUGUGACCAAGGUGAAUGGGCAUGGCCUUAGCGUAACGGGCUGAUAUGUCAGUAGUACCUUGGGGUGUUGGUCAUGGGAUUGGACACGUGGAGCACUUGGACCAAGUGCAAUGGUUGAGUGGCAUGGAUGCCAUUCUUGGGGCUAGCAAGUCCCUAAGUCCAAAAUAGGACCUAUGGAGGUUGUGAGUGAGACUCUUCCAAGUAGUCGGAGGUGUGGUUAAGUGACUAAAGUAGAAUGGAAAAUUUAGUCGCUUACAGAUUGCUCUUCUUCCUUUCCACAGUUUGGGACUUUGGGACAACAUUUCGAAACAUCCCAACCCUACACGAGCUUCGUGGGUACUCUUCCCACCAUCUACUUUUAUGUGCCUUAUGUAAACAACCAAAGGGAAUGACUUGAGAGAUGAUACAUGGGGUUCAAUUAUAGAAGGAAAAGGCCCAUGAACAAGAGUGCACCCCCUCUUUUAAUCGGUUAAGGGUCUUGAGAUAUUUGGGGUUAAGUGUCCUUGGGUUUAAAUAAUACUGGACUGGGUGACUUCCCGGGAAGUCCAAAUUCAAGAGUUUACACUUUAUCCAUGUGGUUAAAGCAAGGUUUUGAUGAGCCAUGCCAGUAUCCAAAUAGGUAGUGCCACCCACACUUGGACUAGGAAUAUUGACCAUUUGAUCUCCUGAGGGAAUUAGAGUUGACUUUUGAAUACUUCACCAAACUACUUAUUUGUUUGUCUAUAUUCACUCUAGCUUUGGACUUCUCAACUUUUGAACACUUCACCAAGCUAUUUAUUUGUCUAUCCAUAUUCACUCUAGUUUUGGACUUCUCAAUGGUUAUAUCAUCAUCAACACAUGGGUAUAACUUUCCUAAACCACACUAGCCUUUUCUUGCCAAAUUGGUUCCACUAGAAUCCAACCCCCACACUCUUCUUACUAUACUUUUGGAACCCCUUGAAACCCCACCCCCUAGGGUCGAUCGCUUUGGGUUUUCACCUCACAGCCUGUAUUAAUAUUCGGACUCGGACUCAAUCUUGUACUCAUAGUUAGCCUCAGUCUCGAUCUUUGUCUUGGUCUCAGUUUUGGUCUCCAUCUCGGGUCCAUCUUAGGUCCAUUUUAGACUCCAUCUCAGGUCCAUCUCGGACUCUAUCUCGAAUCGAUCUUAGACUCUAUUUAGAUCCAUCUCAAACUCCAUCUUAGGUCCAUCUCAGACUCCAUCUUGAGUCCAUUUUGAGUCCAUUUCGGACUCCAUUUUGGGUUUAUCUUGGACUCCACCUCAAACUCCACUUUGGACUCCAUGUCAGAUUCCACCUUAGACUUCAUCUCAACACUUCUAUAUGUCAUGUAUUAAUCCUUUUGUAUCCCUUUUCUAAAAACUCACUUAUUGUAUGCUUCAUGUUCGUUCCUCGAGCACUUUGUUAAGAGUUCUAAUCCUGCACUUGAUUUUUCAAACUAAAACUUUUAACCCAAACAUGUUAUGCUUGUUUGGCUUCCACUUCAGUCAAUCCCCCUAAUCCCUUCUUUGAAAACCUUGAUAAUGCUCUAAAAGUCUAUGAGCUUUAUAUUCCCAAACAAGCUUUCCCUAAACCCUAAAAGGAUAUUUUAUGAGCAAUGCCCCCUUGUGCAUCUUAUGGAUUGCAUUGGCUGCUUGCCUAAUCACAAUAGCUGCCUUAUAUUCAUUAAGUUUUUUUUUUAUUUGAGCAACACAUCCUUUAACAAACAUUGACACGACUCCUUUAAAAAAUGGUAAUAAUCUUAAUCCCUAAAAACUUCCAGAAGCUUAAAUAUUAUAACUCAUUUUUUGUUUUGCACUUUGGAGGAUUAUUCAAUCCAAGAUCUAGGUUAUGCAUCUUUGAAAGAUGGGCCAGUGUCUCAAUCUUUACCUUAGUUUCCUCUUGUAAGCCUCCAUUUUGGAGUAUGUCAUCAAUGAUCAAGUCUUUAAUAGGGUAAUCAUUUAUUUGAAUUCAUUUGUAUGCAAAAAAAAUUCACUAUUUGCUUUAUGCUUGAUCUUAUACACAAUAGUCUCACAACCCAACUUAAAGUCAUUUAUAUCACUCUUCAUCAUUGCUACUUCACUCGUACCAACAUGCCCUAGCAAAAAGAUUGUGUAAAGGCAAAUAUAUUUGGGCGUUAUUACUAAAUUGCAAAAUCUCAUAGAUUUUAAAAUUACUUUAUGUUUCUAGACCUUUUAUGACGAGCAAGCUCCCAACGACGAGAUCGUCCCUGUGGAGUGAUCCAAUCUCCUCGGCGUGGAUCUUCCUCCCAGUUUCCAGGUCCCCCCCGCGGCAAAGAGCGUCGAGCUCCACCGCCAGCCUCUCAUUGCCACUCUCGCCGUAGCCAAAGAUUGAGAGCGUUUACGCAACAGGUCCUCGAUUGCGAGGACUGAACACUGGUAACAAACGAGCUCGUGGAAGUUCCAGAGGUGAUCAGAGAUGGCAGCACAAGGUUGUGGAGACGAGAGGCUACUGCAUCACGCAGCUCGUCCUCCACGAUCUUCACGUCCCGGCCAUGAAUCACAAGCCCUUUCUUAACAACAGCAUGGUCUACUUUGGGAGGAUCACUGGUGUCAAUGACUACAGGAAGCAUGUGUCCCCUGCCAUGUUAUAUCUUUUGCUGCUUCUAUGGCAAGUGCGGGAGCUUGGACGAAGCUCGCCAAGUCUUCCACUCCAUGGAUCGAGGCAGCAAGGAUCUGGGGACUUGGAACUCGCUGCUGGAAGCUCACAGCCACGCGGGAGACACGAGCAGCGUGUUGGAUCCUGACAAGCCUCACUCUGCCGCCUAUUGGCAGCGUGGUGGCGACGAUCGCUGGCGUCGUCAGCAUCGCUGCUCAGGAGCAUGCGGGAGAAAUCUUGCAGGGUGUGGCCUCCGUCCACGAGCCUGGAAUUCAGCCUCGGCCACAGGAAUGCUGGCGAAGUAGUGGCGCAUGCCAUCCAAGAACUUAAACCGGUCGCAGUGCGCUCUUCGAGCAAAUGCUGCGCUCGGUGUGGCCACAGACGACCCCAAGGAGAUGUCGCAGUGCUGUGGAACCGGGAAGUAUAUGGCCCCGGAGGUGACGAGCUGCAAGGAUGAUCAUGGCGACGCAAGGUUGCAGAGCUUUUACACUACAUCCAUGGACGUGUGGGCGCUGGGAGUGAUUGCAUAUGAGCUGUUGAGAGGCUACAAGCAGUCCAGGGAGAUAGAGUUGUUGCAAGCCAGGGAAUUCCCGGAUGGUUGUCCUCUCUCAGACGAGGCGGAGGAUCUCAUCUGCGGGAUGCUGGCUGUGGAGCCGAGCGAGAGGUUGACGCUGGAUGGUGUGCUGGAGCAUCCCUGGAUCGUUGAGAAUUGCAGCAGUAAGAUGAAGAAGACGAUUCAAAAGAGGAGGUGCUGUGGAGUGAAGAGCAGUGCUCCCGGUUUUAGUAGCGACUUGGUUGUCAAGAAAGUUCGAG
rnacentral:lncRNA from 1 species